rnacentral:ncRNA from 1 species
ACAAGCCUGCCUCGUGAUCGUCUUCUCACCCUUCACGCGGGCGGGCGCGGUGAAGGGGCAGCCCUGUGAGGACCUGACUCACAGGGCUGUCAC